CAAAGUUACUAGUUGCAGAUAUACUUGUCACCUGGGGUUUGACUAAUUCACAGCAGCAGUUUUACAGAAGCCUUUAAAAUCUGAGUAAAAAGAGGACAAUAUGGAUUUUAACAGCAGCCCUUGAUAGCCACCCCUGACUAGUUCCUAUGGCAUUGGCUUCUCCUCCCAAAUUCCUCUUAUAGGAAACAUAGUUGUGUUUGGAAAUGCGUCCUGAUUAAGUAAAGAUCUAAUUUAUAAAUUGAAAUAACUUGAGAAAGCUAGCUCUUAACUGUGAACAGACCCAGUGGAAAUAUUCUUCAAAUUUAAAAAGUACUGGAUCCAUGAAAUUGGCUAAGAGAGUACAUCUUAAGUGUUCUCACCACACCCACACCCACACACCCACACACACACACACACACACACACACACACAAAAUCUAACGUAAUCACGUGAGGUAUGCAUAUGUUAAUUAGCUUGACUGCAGUAAUCAUUUUACAAUGUAUGCAUAUAUCAAAACAUCACAUUGUACACCUUAAAUAUAUAUGACUUUUGUCAAUCAUACGUCAAUAAAGCUGGAAAACAAUUUUAAAUUGAAAGUAAAUAAAGUGUAAAGUAAUACACUUAGAAAAUGGGAAUGCUUCAAGUCAAGGAACUCUUUCCAAGUCACUUUUGUGUGUAUAUAAAUGUGCAUUUACACGUGCGUGCUUGUGAAUAUGCGUGUGUGUGUGUGUGUGUGUGUGCACGUGCGUGCAUGUGUAACUUUAGAGAGGGCAAGCAGUAAUAAAAAGGGCAGCCUCAGUCCUUAUACAAGUUAUGGAAUGAAAAAUUCCUAGUUACCGUAGCAACUGCAAGAUCACAUGGCAUGGAAGCAAGGAGAUACAAAGCAUCUUAAGUAAACACUCUUGUAUUUUCAUGUUUUGCACAUUCCUUGGUGCUUUUAGAGAGGCACGCCUUAGGUCUCAGCAGGAACCAUCUCAGAAAUUUAUUUCACAGUUUGAAACAAGAUUGGGAGAAAGGUAGGACUGUGUCACUCUUGGUUUAUUGCACAGCCACAGAAAGUUGGUGUUAAAACAGGUUAAGGGAAUUUAAACUGCAAUGGAAUACUGGUACAAUUAUUUGAGAGACAAACAAAAUUAGAAGGUAAAAAGGAAGAGAGAAGGUUAAAAUAAGACAAAAAUGAAUUCGGUUGCAAUGGAGUAGGUGUUUCUCCCUCUUUUUCUGGAGUGAAGGAUGGAUGUGCGGGAAGAGAGGAAUGGAUUGAAAAGAAAUGGAAGUACUUUGAUAAUAAAGAACAGCAAAACAAUCUUCUAUUUUCCUGAAUAUUAAUGUGCACUUGGGAUGCCAAAGAGGAUUGAAAUCCUCAUAUACAAACCUGCCCCAGUAAGAGCCUUGCUUUGUAAACUAUGACUCAUUGAAGUUUGAAAGUUUGUGUCUACUCUUUACCAACUAUGUAUUCUCCCAAAAGCUUGUCCGUAGUUACAAACUGACUACUGUGAUGAACCUCCCUGUCCUUUCUGCUUGUCAUUUCCAGGUUAAUUCCCCAUGGUACAAAACCCUUCAAUUUAAAACUUUAAAUCUCCAAUGAACCGGAAUCCUGGAGAUGAGAUGAAAACCUUUGAUCUGCAGAGAUACAACUUUGGUUUUGCAGAGAUUCGGUUUGAGUGCUUGAACUUGGGAAACAUUUCAAAUCACUCACAAUUGUCCUCUUGACCGAAUUCAGGCCCGCAAAUAUUGAUUGAAAGCCUAGCGCUAGACACUGGGGGUAAAAGUUCAAAUAAAACAUGGAGAUUACCCUCAAAGAGGAAAUAUUCUUUAUGAGAGAGAAAUGGGGGAGAGAUAUAAACUUGCAUUUUUUAAAAAACAGUGGUUUGGAGCUAGGCUGUGCAUAGUGGUUAAUGAAUUUAGCCAGUAUAAAUAAAUAGACCCCUUUAUUCUUAUUUCUAGGAGUUCAAGGCAGAAAGAUCUGGAAGUUUUUUUAAUUUGUCAUUAUCUGGGAGUUUUAUAUCUCAGUCCUGCUCAGGACAUUCUGAACUCAGAAAAACAAUUCCAAAUAUUUAAUGACAUGACUUGAAAUAUGGUUUUAACACCCUGACAGCAGGGAUACUUCUGGCAGGAUGCUAGAUCACCAUCUGUCCAUACCAACAGCAUUUCACAAAAAGUAAAUUUUUAGAAAUUCUAGCCACAGGAGUACUUUUAGAACAUAAAAGAACAGAAUGAUUAUUGGCAUUGAUAGGCAUAGUCAAUCAGAGUAAAAGAUGGCUAUUCAAAACCUCCUGAAUAAUCAACUGGUAUCCACUUUAAAAUGGCAACAUUUCCCCGCAAAGUGUUCAACACUCAGAAGUACGAAUGCUGCUGAAUUUGGGGGGGGGGGGGGCGGCGGGUCUUCAAUUUAAGACAGGAAUUUUAGAGCUAGAAGAAAUCGUAGAUGUCCAAUCUACUACCCUUAUAGAUGAGAAAACUGAAGCUCAGAGAGGUAAUAUGACUGACUAAAUUCAUGCUCAAUAUAUUUAAUUUGUAGGGAGUUUGUUAACAGAAUUUCAAUUUAUCAAGAAUAAAUAGAUUUUUUAAUGCUGGUAACAAAACAGUAAAAGUUUGAAAAUAUGAAAAAAUUCGCAUGUGAUAACUGAUCAAGAAACCUUACUUUUACAUUACAAAAAUAAAUCCCAGCUAUAUGAAAGACCUGAGUGAAAAGUGCAACUCUAGAAGAAAUAGAAGAAAAUAAAAUUGAGUAUCUAGCCACAGAAUUGGGAAGAACUCUCUGAUUUUAAAGGUGAUUUUUGAAAUUAAAAAAACAUGAAUCAAGAGUUUUGCUCAUAUAUAUAAAAAUAAUAAGAAACAAACUCGGCAAAACUACAUAUAACAAAUAUUACAAAGAUUAAUGUCCUUAACAUAUAAAAAGCUUAUUCAAAUCAACAAGAAAAAUCCCAAUGGAAAAAUGGGCAAAGGAGGUGAAUAGAUUAUUUACAGAAGAAAUAUAACUGGAUUGAUAUAAACUGCAAGUAUUCAACCUCACUAGAAAAGAAAUGUAAAUUUGAACAAUACUGGUCCUUGCCAUCAGCCCGAGAAGAAUACUUAGUUUCUCCUUCUAAGAAUCGUAAUAAUCAAUGUGGAUGAGGGUAUUACAAAAUAAGUACUUUAAUGUAGUGCUAAUGUAUGGGAAAAUUGGAACAAGCUUUAUGGAGCGUAGCUGAGCGAAAAACAUAAAAGAGAUUAAUGCAGUUCAUACCUGUGAGUAGUAAUUACUCAGCUAGGAACUUAUCCUUAAGAAAUAUAAAUUUACAUAAAGAUUUUUUUAGAGAUGUGCAUCUCAGAUCACUUAUAACAGCAAAAAUUUGAAAACCUAUUUGCCCCCAAAUGGGAAGAGUAAGUAAGUGAAGUAUGUUACGGAAACGUAAGGAAAGCCUCAUAAUGUAUACACUGAUAUAAUUGGGAAAGCGAGAGGAAAUCGUAGUUAGUUCUCACUAAAUUUUUCUGUUCUUCCUUGUAGCUUUCUAUGAUUUCUAAAUUCUCUACAAAAGGCACGUAUUACUCUACUAUUAGUAGAACAAUUUUAAACAGUCUUUAACAGAAAUGUGCUAUAAAUUCCUGCAAGUUGCCUGAUGCCUUGUUCUGGACUGUCAAACACCUAUAAACCUCAAGAAUGAAGCUUGUUUUCAAAAACAAAUUCAAUCAGUAAAACAGGACAAGAACUAUAUACAAUAUUCUAAUUAAAAUAUAUUUUGUAACUAGAAAAUGGGGAGAGAGGAAAAUGGUAAACACCAACAAUAUGCAACUCUCUUUAGAUAUGAGAUCUGUGGUAUUUGCCAUUUAUGAUUUGUGUCCUUACGUGGUCAGAACCCAGGAAGUAAAAGAGAGGAUGUUUAAUUUAGCAAAUGCCUCACCAGAAGGCAAAGAAACAAUUUUCUAGAAACAAACACCGUAUUCAGAGUACACCCCUUACUUUCUUCUGUCUGCGUAUCGCCCUUCUUCACUCUCGUGUCUUUGUUUUCUCAUCUUUCUCCCUCACUAACAGUGGCUGGCUUGGGGGCUCAAAUCAUAUCUUGUUCACUUAUGUCUCUGUUCUACUGUGUGUGAUGCCUGGUUCAUCAGUGCUUAACAAAUGCUUUUCUCAAUGAAUAUAGGCAAGAAUAAAUCUUGGCCAAGUACUUUAAAAAUCUGCUCUAUAUAUGAAAAGGAGAAAGUUCUACUGAAAUUAAAAAUUAUUUAGGCCCUAGACAAAGUCAACUUUAUGUGCCAUGGCUGAAUACCCACUACUGGUAGCAGCAAGCUAAACAGCUCUCUGGCUGUCUCCAUCUUCAUCUAGUAGGAUUCUUUCUAAUCAUCUGUAUGAGCUCAAACACAGGAAUCUGAAAUAAACUUCUAAUGAUGGAGAAGCUAAGUGUCUGAUUGAUGAGGGAUGCUGGUGUCUGUCUGAAGACCUCACUGCAGUUAGCUAAGUGAAUGAAUUCCCCGGAGUCGGUGGGUCACCAUAUCCAGCUAGGGAAUGCACAGUUAAUUCCCUCUGAGUCUUCCAUAGGCCUGUGCUACCUAACUCUUCUUUUCUUUCUAGGGUCCCCCAGACCGGGAGGUCUGCAGUUGCCAUGCUCCAUCACUCAGAAGGAAAAGACACCAUUCGUGGCUUUUCUUCUGGAUUGGAGCCCUCUCAAAACUUAGGUUUAGGCCAAAAUGGGGUCAACAAAACUCACUACACUCUUCCCCGGAGAUUCUGGCAUAGCCAGGUGUGGUACAUAAAAACAGAAGUCAGAGCUCAGAUGCAGAAACGGCAAACCACAGAGGCUGGGGCCAGGGGAAUAAGCAGCUGCAGAUGUUGACUACACCUAGGGCCAGUCAGAUCUUUAUUAAGAAGGAUUUUUCCAGGGUGUGGCGAACUUUUCUCAGGUCUCUGCACAUCUCCUCCAUAUGCCAAGAUUAUGAAUAACACUGAAGGACAGGAAUUGGAGAUAUACUGACUUGGCACAGAAGUGGGGUCUACUUAAAAUUGGGAUACAAGUCAGAUGAGACUGACAAAUUACAAUGGAAACGGCAUUUACCAGUUCAACGAGUCAUGAAAGUUGUCUGCCCGCAAGCAUCUGGCAUUCAGGAGGGAAAGAUUGGAAAAGAAAAAAAGAAAGAAAAAAGCCACAAAAACCUAUCCCAGGUAAACCUAAGUGUGACAGCAUUAACUUCUACAGACCCAAACAAGUCUUAUUUUGCUACAGUAAUGGAGUGGGUGAUUUUUUUUUAAAUUAAAGACAAAUUUUUAUGUAACGACAAAUAAGAACAUGGUCAUGUUUUAAGUAAAAUACGGGUAUUUAACAUGAUUUAUUAGAAAAAUAUGUACUGUACAUUUACCCACAGUCUGUUAUGUUCUGUUACGAUAUUUUCAGCAAUCUUCUAUUUUUGCCAUCUUAGAACAACAUCUAGCGCUGCUGUAUGCCAGAUGGAAUUUUUCCUUUCCACCCACUUCCCAAUGCAAAAGGAAAAAAAGGUUCUUUGCAUCCCACAUGGAAAUCUUUUAUAAAUUUCUUUUCCUCAUCUUUACCAACUGAAGUAUCUGAAUCUCUCAGAAAUCAUCAAACUCUGGCUGAAUCAAUGUGCAGCAAAUAUCGUGCAGCAGAGUAAGUACAUUUAAUGUGAACAUACAUGCCUGCGGGGUGUUAAUUAACAGAGAGUAUUCACAUUACAUGCAAGUUCAAAAUUCAUUUCUAUAAAAGCAGAACUGAAUCAAAGUCAACUUUUUCAAGAAAAAUGAUGAUGUAGUAUAUUUAAAUAAGUAAGAGUAGAGCUAUCAUUGGACAUUGUCUUCACAGCAAAGCUUUACUGUUUAUGCUGGUUCCUGUUUUAUGUAGUAAAAUCAAGAGAGGACUAUAAGGAAAGGAGAGUCAGAAAGCUUUGAAAGGAGUGCGCGUGACCCAUUCUUUGCUAGCAAACCCAUCCCCACACGGCAGCAGAGGAAUCUCAAAAAUUCACAUCUAAUCAUCUUUCUCUCUCUUGUUUACAUUCUUCACAAAAGCUCUGUAUGGCUCUUAGCACGCCGUUUUUGGCUAGGCCUUUAGGUAAUGCCUUGCAUCCUCUGGCCCUCCCCGCCCUCUGACCCCCUGGCUUCAGCCACUAGUUCUGCCUGCAGGGCUGCAUCCUCCUCUCUCUGCAUCAGGCCCUUCCUGUCCUCACCCAUGCUCGCUCUCCUCUGCCUGGGAUGCCCAUUCUUCCUCACUUCUCCUGGUAGCUCUUCUGACUCUUCUCUUCUCUUCUUUCCCUUCCUCAGGGACACAUGCUUGUCUCCCUAGACCAGCUGAGCUCCCUGUGACAAGCUUCCACAGCACCCUGGAACUUAGCAUGCAGGUUAACUGUGAACUCAGCCUCUGAAUUUCCUGCAGUGUUAUCUCCCCAAAAGCAGUGAUGUAUCAGGGCAGUCUUUGGGGAAUCAAGGCACAAUGUAUGUUGGUACCUAUGUCUCCAUACUCCUUGAUGUCUCCAUGUUUUACUUCUCUGAGCCUCAGUGGCACACAGUUGUCAUGAAGUACUGUCCAUCUCUCUGUGAAGGACUGUCCAUCUGUCUGUGCAUCUUUUCUCUACCCUUUUGUCUUAAAGCACCCAUUAUAAAUUCAAAUGAAACCAAACCACCAAAGAUUUCUAGUGUUACCUGAUCAGACAACAACCUACAAAGUAUUAAUAUUGCUAUAUUAAUGCAGACCAGGCCUUGAUAGGGGUAGAGAAAAAAAGAAUAUAAGGUUGCCAGGGGUCUGGAGUGAGGUACACCACUGAGAGGAACAAAAGUCAAGGAAAAAUAACCUAUUUUUCAAUAUUUCUCCUUAAAGAUUUCUUAGACAUACUAAAGAUGAUAUGGCUAUUUUAUUUUUACAAGUAGAGGAAAUGAAUAAACCUGGGGAGCAGCAUCUGUACCACAGGGAAUCCAAGAUCCACUGAGAAUAUGGCUUUGAUAAAUCAAACUAACUGAGACAGAAUCCAUUUUCUUAACCGGGCCUUUAAAAAAGAAACUUGAAUAUUUUCAGAAAAAUAAAUGAGUAUCAUAAGGACAAGUCCCUCUCCGCUUAAAAUGUUAAAAACGUUAAAAACUGAAACUAAUAUUUUUAAAAUGUUGAGACUUGCAGUGGGCUUUCUGUGAGAACCUAGAAAUCCAGCUAAUGGGCAGAUGGCCCCCCAGGCGGCAUGAGCACAGCACUGAUGUCCACCGGCUGCCGUUUUUCCGGAAGGAAAAAAACGAAACCAAAGCAGAAUUUAAAGUGAACCAAACUUGUAAACCUUGCUUUUGAAAACAGAGAACUUCUUUUUGGAUUGCUGCCACUGUGGAUAGGUCUACCAGAGGUAUUUCCCUCUCCCUGAAGGCCUGGGAAAUGUGUGGUUCACUUGUUUUCCAAGUGUGAAUUUGUUUCUCCAGCUAGACUGUAAACUUCUUGGAGGCAAGACCUAUCUUCUAUCACUUUCGUGGUUACUCUGUGACCAAAUGAAUCCAGAUUAAAAAUGAACUAAAACAACUCACUUAAGGAUGCCUAUUUCCUCUAAAAACGUAUGUAUGUUAGUACCAAACCAACACAAAGUCGGGAUUUUGUCAUUAAGAAAAAUACAUGGUUUCUACACAGAAUUUCUCAGCAGUGGGCAACUUAAUAUUAUGACUUGCCUAAUACAUUUGAAUUCUGGCUUUCAAUACUAAGCAAUAAUGUUAUAACAUUCUAUUUGUCUUUAGUUUCCUGGUUAAACUAAAUUACUGGUGAACUUCAAAUAAUGCCAUGAUUGGUCUUAACUUUACUCGCUUAGAUGUAUAAUGCAAGUUUGAAUAGAGAAUGAUAAAACCAUUUCCUUUUAGUAUUUCACGCAGAGUAUAAAGAGGGCUUUCACUUUAUAUUAAGCUGCUUUUUCUUUU